GCUGAGAGUAAACACAUAAAAGAAUGGUGAGAGAAUUAAAACCUGAUUUCUCAACAAAUAGGUGAAUUGAUGCGUUAGUAUACACAUUAGUCAAGCAUGUGACUAUUUAAAUCUUUGUGAAUCAAAAGAUAUUAGUCAUUUGUACUUUGAUCGGAAAAAGAAACAGUCAAAGUUAAAUUAGUGUAACAAAAAGGAAGCAAGUAUGGUGAAUUUUGAAAAACGUAAGAUUCAAACGAUGAAAAGUUAUUUGGAAGAUUGCAAACAUUUGUUAAAAUGUAUUAAAAUUCUUUGAUGCUGAUAAAAUGCACCCACAUAUUGGCUUUUGUGGAAUAGAUAUCUAAUUUGACGUUGUUUUCUCAUCUCACAACUUUUAUCUUCUACUUACGAUCCUGUAAGACUCAGAGAAAGUUCGAACAAUAGAUAUUCAACUCUAAUUCGAUUAGAAAGAAUGCCUCAAAGGGAAACUUUUAUAUAUGUGCUCCAAAGCAUCAUCAACUUCCAAAGGAUCAUCAACAAGAUAUUUGUUUAGCUAUAACUAAAAAUGAAGAGUUUAAUCGAUUUGAAGCUGUUACGGAAAUAUUUUACGAAACAAAUACGUUGCAACAAUGGAGACUUGAAGGUAAAGAAUUAAAAAAACGUGGCUUUUAUGGAUACACGUCACUGUUCCGAGUUUAAAGACAAUUUUGUUCUGUCAACUUGCAACUCAAAGAAUUCCAAUAAAAACGUUGAGAUUAUCAAUAGUAUUUUUUAAACAACUGUGAAAUGGUUAAUGUCAAACCAAACUAUUUUUAUUACACAAUAAUAAAUUGUAUACAAAC